rnacentral:lncRNA from 1 species
UUGCUAGCUUUUCUUUGCUUUAUCUAUAGAUUGUUGAUAUAGGAGGACUUAGAGAGAGGGAUUCACGAUGGCGAGCCACAGGGCAAGCUUUCCCCUACGGCUCCAGCAGAUCUUGUCAGGUGGGAGGCAUGUCUCUUGUGAGUUCUCUCUCUACAUUUUAAUCCCCUAUCUUGAUCUAGUUGCAAAGUUGUUCCUUUUUCUAUUGGUUUUAUGUAUUAGUUUUGGGUGAUU